AUCUAGCUGGGAAAUGUGGUAGUUUUAAGACAUGUCUGCAAAUUCUUUCAUCUUUUUCUCAUCAAGAUGUGGGUUCUCUAUUCCUCACCUUGAACCUGGGCCCACCUUAAUGAUUGGUUGGUCACCAGCAUAAAGAGGAAGUGAUAUUCUGUGACUUCCAGGCUGGGCCAUAGAAGCCAGGCAGUUUCCUCUUGGUUCCCUGGAUCACUUGCACUGGAGCUGCCACGUAAGAAGUCUGACCAUCCCGAGGCCUCUAUGCUGUGAGGAAGCCCAAAUUAGUCCACAUGGAGAUGCCCUGAGUCUACAAGAAAAGAGAGGACAGACAGAGAUGCUCCUCUAGACACCAUUUCGCUGAAACCACAUGAGGGUUCACCAAGCCAAGACCGCUGAGCUGAGCCUUUCCCAGGUUCCUGACCACAGAAACCAUAAGAGAUAAUAACGUGAUUGAUGGUGGCCAGACACAGUGACUCACACCUGAAAUCCCAGCACUUUGGGAGGCUGAGAUCUAUGCCCCUUGAUAUGACUUUGCAGUUCCUUCUACUAAGAAGAUGAAUCCAUUUCUCCACCCGCUGAGUCUGGGCUGGUCUUGUGAUGUGCGUUAGUCAAUAGAAGUGGCUGAAGUGAUGGCGCGCCAGUUUUUAGCCUACACUUCAAGAAGCCUAUGGACUUCCACUUGCUGUCUUGAAACCCUGUUUGAAAAAGGUUCCCUGAGGACAAGGCCAGACUAGCCUGCUGGAGGGUGAGAGACCACAGGGAGCAGAGACAAGUCAGCUCACAUUAGCAGAACCUCUCAGUCAAUCCACAGACCCGUAAUCUCCUCCCCUGGAGUGUGGACCAGAGUUAGUGACUCACCUCUAACGAAUGAAAUAGCUCAGUCUGAUGGAAGCAGCUGCCCUGUUGUGAGCUCCCCCUAGGGAGAGGCCCACAUGGGAAGAAAUCAAAGUAUGCCUCAAACCAACAGCCAGAGGGAAACUGAGGCUUCAGUCCAACAAGCCAGAAGGAACUGAAUCCCACCAACAACCACUUCAUUGAGCCAGUAAGUGGCUCCUCUCCCAGUCUUGAGAUGGCUCCAACAUCAGCUGACACCUUAAUUACAGCCUCGUGAGGGACCCUGAGCCAGAGAAUCAGCUAAGCCAUGUCCAGAUCCCUAGUCCUUCGAAACUAUAAAACAAUGAGAAAGCUAAAGCUUGGUGAGAUUACGGAAGCCUACAGUUACACAGCUGACUCCCUCCAGAGGCCCCAUCCACACCCACUGUUGGACUCCUGCUACUCUCGGAGGCUUGGAGUUGGUUUCUCCUCCCCCAAAUCGGUCUCAACACUUACCCUUACUUCCUGCUCUUCGUGGUCUCAGCCUCACUGUUCUUCGUGGACUCAUUUUUUCUCUUCCCUUUGUUUUAUUUUUGUCUCUUUCUUUCUUUUUUGGCUUCAGUGGAGUCCUAGCCUUAAGGUUUUCCUUCUCUAACCCCUUGUUCCCCUUCCAUUCUCUUUCCAGCCCUCUGUAAGCUGCAGCACAGUGUUUACAGUUAAGCCAGCCUCCAUUGAGGCCUUCAGUUGCCGAAGUUCAAAAAAAUCAACCUAGAAUAACAACGUAUUGUUAUAUAAAUGGCAUCUCAGAAAUAAACUAGUCAAAUACGCUUAUCCCCACAGUUCACAUGGGGGAAAAGCUUGCUACCUGAUGUUCUAAUACAUAAUAGUUGUUUUCUCAUUUAUCAACUUUCAUCCCCAGUAUCUGUAAGCUCCAAGAAGGCAAAGACUUUCACU
rnacentral:lncRNA from 1 species